CUUAGAAUAGAUCCCAAACCAUAGACAGCAGGUUUCCGAGAUAAUCGGGAUUAAAUAUCCUGCCGAGGGAAAAAUCUUCUCAGUCAACGUUACGAUCGUGAGAAAAGGUCGAUUUUCCUAUUAUGUUCUGUGGUGCAAAACCACUUUUUUUUAUGGCAAA
rfam:Candidatus Magasanikbacteria bacterium RIFCSPHIGHO2_02_FTLL_48_18 rifcsphigho2_02_scaffold_1180, whole genome shotgun sequence.